GGUUAAGCGACUAAGCGUACACGGUGGAUGCCCUGGCAGUCAGAGGCGAUGAAGGGCGUGCUAAUCUGCGAUAAGCGCCGGUAAGGUGAUAUGAACCGUUAUAACCGGCGAUACCCGAAUGGGGAAACCCAGUGUGAUUCGUCACACUAUCAUUAACUGAAUCCAUAGGUUAAUGAGGCGAACCGGGGGAACUGAAACAUCUAAGUACCCCGAGGAAAAGAAAUCAACCGAGAUUCCCCCAGUAGCGGCGAGCGAACGGGGAGGAGCCCAGAGCCUGAAUCAGCAUGUGUGUUAGUGGAAGCGUCUGGAAAGGCGCGCGAUACAGGGUGACAGCCCCGUACACAAAAGCGCAUGUGUUGUGAGCUCGAUGAGUAGGGCGGGACACGUGGUAUCCUGUCUGAAUAUGGGGGGACCAUCCUCCAAGGCUAAAUACUCCUGACUGACCGAUAGUGAACCAGUACCGUGAGGGAAAGGCGAAAAGAACCCCGGCGAGGGGAGUGAAAAAGAACCUGAAACCGUGUACGUACAAGCAGUGGGAGCACAGGUUUACCUGUGUGACUGCGUACCUUUUGUAUAAUGGGUCAGCGACUUAUAUUCUGUAGCAAGGUUAACCG
rnacentral:rRNA from 1 species